UGUUUUAACGUCAAAAUAAAUAAAAUUCAAGAUUAAAGGUUUAUAAUAUAAUGUUCAUCGCAAAUCCUAGCACAAAAUAAUUUAGCCAAGCAUAAAGUUAAAAUUAAACAAGUAAAGGGAAAACGACAUCACCAGUAAUUUGACGGAACGUGGUUAAUUCUCCAACUUUUCGCAAAAUGAUAGAAUGAUUUUAAAUGCAUGAAAAUUUGGAAUUCCUUUCUCCCAUGUUCGCCGUCUGUCUCCUUCAAUUGCAGUGCGUAGUUUUGUCUCGUUUUCUUCAAUUUCCAGCCACCUAAUUCUAUAUUUCUGUGCGUGUAAAUGUCUUGCUGCCCCUUUUUUAUUCCCAGAAACAGUCGUUGAUUUUACUUGUUUAGCACUUAAUUUCCAGCUUCCAAUAUGCCGACUUGUGUAUAUGAAUAAUCCCCAAAAGGGAUUCCAAUUUUCCACCGUCCAAUCUGCUGAUUUCUCUGGGUAUUAUAUAUAAAAAUCACUCUUGCAACCCUCCAAUCUAUGCCCUAGCAGCUGGCCAACUUUUUUUUUUUUUUUUUCUCCACUCAAUCUGCCGUUUUGCAUCUUCAAUGAAGCCUUCGGCCCGCCUCCUUCUUUCUCCCAUUUUCUGUUGGUAUAUAUAAAUAUAUAAAUUGCAGCCCUCUCUUCGUCAACUCUUUUUCUUCUUUUUAAUUUCCCUAAUUUUUCCAAAUUGCAAGUAAUUUUAGCCCUAGUAAAAUUUAAGUUGGCCAAUUGAUUUUUAACGGGAGUCCAAGUUGAGGCCCAAAUUAAUUGCAAUUUAUCCUCCAACUUUUAUCACGCGAGAUUUAGUCCCCAAACUUCUCUUUAAUGACCAAUUGAUCAUUUUCUUUUACACUUGCUUCAAAACGGGUCCCUAACUAAAAACAAAAGAAAAUUAACACAAGUUAGGUAAAAAUUAAUAAUUUGACGACAUAAAAGCCUAAUUAUGUAGUUCGAAUAAGUGCACAAAAUGCAUUUAUCAAACACCCCCAAACUAAAACAUUUGUUCGUCCUCGAACAAAAUAAAAUAAAACUUAGGUAUGACACAUUUCUAACCUAACAAAUCA
rnacentral:lncRNA from 1 species